GAUGAACGCUGGCGGCGUGCCUAAUACAUGCAAGUCGAGCGAACGGACGAGAAUCUUGCUUCUCUGAUGUUAGCGGCGGACGUGUGAGUAACACGUGGAUAACCUACCUAUAAUACUGGGAUAACUUCGGGAAACCGUAUCUAAUACCGGAUAAUAUUUUGAACCGCAUGGUUCAAAAGUGAAAGACGUUCUUGCUGUCACUUAUAGAUGUUUCCUCGCUGCAUUAGCUAGUUGGUAAGGUAACGGCUUACCAAGGCAACGAUGCAUAGCCGACCUGAGAGGGUGAUCGGCUACACUGGAACUGAGACACGGUCCAGACUACUACGGGAGGCAGCAGUAGGGAAUAUUCCGCAAUGGGCGAAAGCCUGACGGAGCAACGCCGCGUGAGUGAUGAAGGUCUUCGGAUCGUAAAACUCUGUUAUUAGGGAAGAACAUAUGUGUAAGUAAAUGUGCACAUCUUGACGGUACCUAAACAGAAAGCCACGGCUAACUACGUG
rnacentral:rRNA from 1 species